rnacentral:misc_RNA from 1 species
UCCGGUUUGGCACCGGCAGUCUCCCAUGAGUCCCCGACAUUACUCGCUGGCAACAUGGAACAGGGGUUGCGCUCGUUGCGCCACUUAAGGCAACACCUCACGGCACGAGCUGACGACAGCCGUGCAGCACCUGUGCGGGCUCCCGAAGGAGCGCCGUGUUUCCACGGUUUCACCCCGCAUGUCAAGCCCUGGUAAGGUUCUUCGCGUUGCGUCGAAUUAAGCCACAUGCUCCGCCGCUUGUGCGGGCCCCCGUCAAUUCCUUUGAGUUUUAGCCUUGCGGCCGUACUCCCCAGGCGGGGUGCUUAAUGCGUUAGCGUCGGCACAGAGCGGGUCAAUCGCCGCCCCACACCUAGCACCCAUCGUUUACGGCUAGGACUAC